CGGCGGACGGGUGAGUAACGCGUGGGUAACCUGCCUCAUACAGGGGGAUAACAGUUGGAAACGGCUGCUAGUACCGCAUAAGCGCACAGUACCGCAUGGUACGGUGUGAAAAACUCCGGUGGUAUGAGAUGGACCCGCGUCUGAUUAGGUAGUUGGUGGGGUAACGGCCUACCAAGCCGACGAUCAGUAGCCGACCUGAGAGGGUGACCGGCCACAUUGGGACUGAGACACGGCCCAA
rnacentral:rRNA from 1 species